UUUUAAACCCGAUGGGAACGAGCACGUAGGGCAAACCUAUGUGUUUGCCCGAAGUAAAGUGGACAGCGGGGCUACGC
rnacentral:misc_RNA from 1 species